UGUUGGGAGAGGAGGUGGUUCCCAUCAGAAGCAGACUGGGACCGUUGGGAGAGGAGGUGGUUCCCAUCAGGAGCAGACUGGGACUGUUGGGAGAGGAGGUGGUUCCCAUCAGGAGCAGACUGGGACUGUUGGGAGAGGAGGUGGUUCCCAUCAGGAGCAGACUGGGACCGUUGGGGAAGGAGGUGCCUAUGAGGAUUAGGCUGAGGUUAGAGGUGGCGCCUCCUAUGAGGAGUAGACGGGUGGAGACUACAGUGCCUAUGAGGAGCAGGCUGGGAGCCAUGGUCAAAGAGGAGAUCCAGCCAGCUUCUCCACGCAUGGUGCAGCCAGCCAGGAUACUAUGACAUGGCGGCAGAUGACAGUUGUCCUAAACCAGCCAAGACCAUCAUGCCUGACCCCUCCAUCCACCUCGGAACAAACCCCAAAUUAUUUUUUAUUUUACCAGGCUUGUCUCAAAUCUCUUUUUAUUUUUUU
rnacentral:lncRNA from 1 species